UAGAGCUUCGGCUCUCUCUUUCUCCUCCUCUUUCGCAGAAGCCGAAAAAGCUCUCUGCUUUAUUAACGUUAUUUUUUUUUGCAUUUUUUUCCACUGAAAAUUUCUCUUCGUUGGGAUUGAAGACGGUGACGAAUUUUUAACGCAAACCAUAUUUUCGAACACGGAAGCAAUGAUGAUUGGUAGCUCGGAAUUGAGAACCGAAGCUGAAAUGGUGGAGCGUUCGGAUCUUGGAAACGGGUCGCUGGCAUCUUCUUCUUCUUCCAGUUUUGAACUGUCUAAGAAAAAAGAUUGAGUUUCAUCCUGCGAGGAAGCCCUUUAACGCGUUUAAAAGUUUGGACGGUGGGGAUUUUACAAUCGAGACACUAAACCCUGGGCCGGAUUCGAAGCGGGUAAACGGGAUGGGAUCUGAUAAAUUGAGCGUUACAGGAAGGAAGGUUGAUGGGACGGAUAUGUGCGAGAAUGGUUUGGAUCAAGUUCUUAGUUUGAAGAUAUCUUUUCGUAAAAUUGGUGCUGGCUUGGAGAAUCUUGGAAACACAUGUUUUCUUAAUUCAGCAUUGCAAUGUUUGACUUACACAGAGCCUUUAGUGGAUUAUCUACAAAGUGGCAAGCAUCAAAAUUCUUAAACAUGUUAGCCGCGCUCUACAAUCAACUGGGAGGAUAUUGGCACCAAAUGAUCUGGUCUCGAACUUGCGCUGCAUAUCUCAGAACUUCUGAAAUUCUCGACAGGAGGAUGCACAUGAAUACAUGGUAAACCUACUGGAAUCCAUGCACAAGUGUUGCUUACCUUCAGGAGUAUAAAGUGAAAUCCCUAGUUCUUAUGAGAAGAGUUUGGUGCACAAGAUCUUUGGUGGUCGCCUUCGUAGUCAGAUAUAUUCUUUUUCUUGCUGAAUGAUAUGAUCAAAUUGUUAAAUGCUUGCAGUGUUCUUACGGUUCCAACGCAUUUGACCCCUUCCUAGAUUUAAGGUUUGAAAUAGUUAAGGCAGACUCCUUGCUUAAAGCACUUAAAAACUUUACUGCUGCGGGGCUUUUAGAUGAAGGAGAGCGACAGGUUCAGUGCCAACUCUGCAAGCAAAAAGUUAAGGCACACCUCAUGUACUUACCAUCCAUCUAAAGAGAUUUCAUGCAUAGAAUUUUGGGCAAAAGAAUGAACGCAAAGUUGAAUUUGGUCCGACCUUAGACAUGAAGCCUUUUGUCGGUGGUUCCAAUGUGAGUAAGCUUCUGUUGCGUGUGAUUACUUUCCUCUGUUGAGUGUGUUUGUAGGUUAUCUAAGCCAUUCUUUGGGAGACACAAAAAGUAGUAUCGAAAAGAAUAAUGCAAUGCCAUACAAAAGUUUCUUUCUCAUAUGACCUUUAAGGGCCUUGAUCGUGGGAAGAAGUUUUCUGUUUAGUUUAUAUUUAUUCUGUUUGAUUUUUGAAUACUGCAUUCAAUAUGUACAUCAUUCUUCUGUGAGAAGAUUGUGAAUGUAA